UACGGAGGGGGCGAGCGUUGUUCGGAAUCACUGGGCGUAAAGCGUAUGUAGGCGGCUUCAUAAGUCAGAAGUGAAAGCCCAGGGCUUAACCCUGGAAUUGCUUUUGAGACUGUGGAGCUAGAAGCUCGGAGAGGUUGGCGGAAUUCCCAGUGUAGAGGUGAAAUUCGCAGAUAUUGGGAAGAACACCAGUGGCGUAGGCGGCCAACUAGACGAGUUUUGACGCUGAAAUACGAAAGCGUGGGGAUCAAACAGG
rnacentral:rRNA from 1 species